rnacentral:rRNA from 1 species
UACGGGGGGGGCAAGCGUUGUUCGGAAUUACUGGGCGUAAAGGGCUCGUAGGCGGCCAACUAAGUCAGACGUGAAAUCCCUCGGCUUAACCGGGGAACUGCGUCUGAUACUGGAUGGCUUGAGAUUGGGAGAGGGAUGCGGAAUUCCAGGUGUAGCGGUGAAAUGCGUAGAUAUCUGGAGGAACACCGGUGGCGAAGGCGGCAUCCUGGACCAACACUGACGCUGAUGAGCGAAAGCCAGGGGAGCGAACGGG